rnacentral:rRNA from 1 species
GACAGAGGUGGCGAGCGUUGUUCGGAAUUACUGGGCUUAAAGGGCGAGUAGGCGGUAGAGCAAGUCCAAGGUGGAAGCCUAUGGCUCAACCAUAGAAUUGCCUUGGAAACUGUUUUACUUGAGUCAGUGAGGGGAGGGCGGAAUUCCUGGUGUAGCGGUGAAAUGCGUAGAUAUCAGGAGGAAGGCCUGUGGCGAAGGCGGCCCUCUGGCACUGGACUGACGCUGAGGCGCGAAAGCGUGGGGAGCAAACAGGAUUAGAUACCCUGGUAGUCCACGCCCUAAACGGUGGGCAUUAGGUGUAGGGCUCGUUAGGGUUCUGUGCCGCAGGGAAACCAUUAAAUGCCCCGCCUGGGGAAUACGGCCGCAAGGUUGAAACUCAAAGGAAUUGACGGGGGCCCGCACAAGCGGUGGAGCAUGUGGUUUAAUUCGACGCUACGCGAAGAACCUUACCUGGGCUUGACAUGUUAGUGGUAAGAACCCGAAAGGGGGAUGAUCCCGACUUUGUUGGGAAGCUAACACAGGUGCUGCAUGGCUGUCGUCAGCUCGUGCCGUGAGGUGUUGGGUUAAGUCCCGCAACGAGCGCAACCCUUAUUCUCUGUUGCUCCGGAGCGAUCCGGGGCUCUCUGAGGAAACUGCCAGCGAUGAGCUGGAGGAAGGUGGGGACGACGUCAAGUCAUCAUGGCCCUUACGUCCAGGGCGACACACGUACUACAAUGGCCGCUACAGAGGGUCGCAAUACCGCGAGGUGGAGCCAAUCCCUAAAAGCGGUCUCAGUUGGGAUCGGAGUCUGCAACUCGACUCCGUGAACGAGGAAUCGCUAGUAAUCGUGGAUCAGCCAUGCCACGGUGAAUACGUUCCCGGGCCU